ACGGAGGGUGCAAGCGUUGUCCGGAAUCACUGGGCGUAAAGGGCGCGUAGGCGGCUCAUGAAGGCUGUGGUGAAAGUCCGGGGCUCAACCUCGGAUCGGCCGUGGCGACUCGUGGGCUGGAGCACUGUAGAGGCGGGUGGAAUUCCGGGUGUAGCGGUGGAAUGCGUAGAGAUCCGGAAGAACACCAGUGGCGAAGGCGGCCCGCUGGGCAGUGGCUGACGCUGAGGCGCGACAGCGUGGGGAGCAAACAGGAUUAGAUACCCUGGUAGUCCACGCCGUAAACGAUGGGCACUAGGUGCUUGGGGGAGCGACCCUCUGAGUGCCGGCGCUAACGCAUUAAGUGCCCCGCCUGGGGAGUACGGCCGCAAGGCUG
rnacentral:rRNA from 1 species